UACGUAGGGGGCAAGCGUUAUCCGGAUUUACUGGGUGUAAAGGGAGCGUAGACGGCGAUGCAAGCCAGAUGUGAAAGCCCGGGGCUCAACCCCGGGACUGCAUUUGGAACUGUGUGGCUGGAGUGUCGGAGAGGCAGGCGGAAUUCCUAGUGUAGCGGUGAAAUGCGUAGAUAUUAGGAAGAACACCAGUGGCGAAGGCGGCUUGCUGGGCCUGUACUGACAUUGAGGCACGAAAGCGUGGGGAGCAAACAGG
rnacentral:rRNA from 1 species